rnacentral:rRNA from 1 species
ACGGAGGAUCCGAGCGUUAUCCGGAUUUAUUGGGUUUAAAGGGUGCGUAGGCGGCCUUUUAAGUCAGCGGUGAAAGUCUGUGGCUCAACCAUAGAAUUGCCGUUGAAACUGGGGGGCUUGAGUAUGUUUGAGGCAGGCGGAAUGCGUGGUGUAGCGGUGAAAUGCUUAGAUAUCACGCAGAACCCCGAUUGCGAAGGCAGCCUGCCAAGCCAUUACUGACGCUGAUGCACGAAAGCGUGGGGAUCAAACAG